rnacentral:rRNA from 1 species
CGCCGCGGUAACACCGGCAGCUCUAGUGGUAGCAAUUUUAUGGGCCUAAAGCGUCCGUAGCCGGUUUAAUAAGUCUCUGGUGAAAUCCUGCAGCUUAACUGUGGGAAUUGCUGGAGAUACUAUUAGACUUGAGACCGGGAGAGGUUAGAGGUACUCCCAGGGUAGAGGUGAAAUUCUGUAAUCCUGGGAGGACCGCCUGUUGCGAAGGCGUCUAACUGGAACGGUUCUGACGGUGAGGGACGAAAGUUAGGGGCGCGAACCGGAUUAGAUACCCGGGUAGUCCUAACUGUAAACGAUGCGGACUUGGUGUUGGGUGGCUUUGAGCUGCUUCAGUGCCGAAGGGAAGCUGUUAAGUCCGCCGCCUGGGAAGUACGGUCGCAAGACUGAACUUAAAGGAAUUGGCGGGGGAGCACCACAACGCGUGGAGCCUGCGGUUUAAUUGGAUUCAACGCCGGACAUCUCACCAGAGGCGACAGCUGUAUGAUAGCCAGGUUGAUGACUUUGCUUGACUAGCUGAGGGGAGGUGCAUGG